AGCGAACGCUGGCGGCAUGCCUUACACAUGCAAGUCGAGCGGAUGACGGGAGCUUGCUCCUUGAUUCAGCGGCGGACGGGUGAGUAAUACCUAGGAAUCUGCCUGAUAGUGGGGGACAACGUUUCGAAAGGAACGCUAAUACCGCAUACGUCCUACGGGAGAAAGCAGGGGACCUUCGGGCCGUGCGCUAUCAGAUGAGCCUAGGUCGGAUUAGCUAGUUGGUGAGGUAAUGGCUCACCAAGGCGACGAUCCGUAACUGGUCUGAGAGGAUGAUCAGUCACACUGGAACUGAGACACGGUCCAGACUCCUACGGGAGGCAGCAGUGGGGAAUAUUGGACAAUGGGCGAAAGCCUGAUCCAGCCAUGCCGCGUGUGUGAAGAAGGUCUUCGGAUUGUAAAGCACUUUAAGUUGGGAGGAAGGGCAGUAAGCUAAUACCUUGCUGUUUUGACGUUACCGACAGAAUAAGCACCGGCUAACUCUGUGCCAGCCGCCGCAGUAACAC
rnacentral:rRNA from 1 species